rnacentral:lncRNA from 1 species
AAAGCACCAACUUAGAAGACGAACCUGACACUACUCAAGAAGCAAUUGUCUUGAGACAAUCCUCUCGACAGUCUCGCCCCCUGCAAAACUUUGAGACUAUGUGUCUCAUCAGUUAUUGUACCCAAUUCAGAACUUCAUCACAUAUGAUAAAAUCUCAAGCACAUACUAGACAUACCUAAGUAAUAUUAUAGCUCACACUGAA